rnacentral:tRNA from 1 species
GGCCCCGUAGCUCAGUUGGCUAGAGCGUUGGUUGUACUAAAAACCUUUCCCUUGCUGGCAUGGGUUCGAAUCCCCUCGAGACUG